GCGCUCGUGGCCCAACCGGCAGAGGCACCGGCCCGAGGAGCCGGAGGUGCGGGUUCGAGUCCCGCCGAGCGUAC
rnacentral:tRNA from 1 species